ACUGUUUCUGCUCCUUGCAGGAAACCCCAGUGUUGGCCUCUCCCAUAGGAUGCCCAUAGCAGCACUCCUCCGCACUGACGGAUGGUUGGCGGUACUGGGCGCCAAGAUAGUCAGAACCCCAGGCAAAAGGCACAAAGUUCCGAAGGGAACUUAUUAGACAUGCAAGGGUCCCACGGCUUUCAUAAGGGCCCAAACCCCUAGGAGGGAGGGAGGUGGUAUGCGAUUACCUUUACAAGGGAUUCUUUGGAACCAG